GAUGAACGCUGGCGGCGUGCCUAGUACAUGCAAGUCGAGCGAACAGACGAGGAGCUUGCUCCUCUGACGUUAGCGGCGGACGGGUGAGUAACACGUGGAUAACCUACCUAUAAGACUGGGAUAACUUCGGGAAACCGGAGCUAAUACCGGAUAAUAUAUUGAACCGCAUGGUUCAAUAGUGAAAGACGGUUUUGCUGUCACUUAUAGAUGGAUCCGCGCCGCAUUAGCUAGUUGGUAAGGUAACGGCUUACCAAGGCAACGAUGCGUAGCCGACCUGAGAGGGUGAUCGGCCACACUGGAACUGAGACACGGUCCAGACUCCCACGGGAGGCAGCAGUAGGGAAUCUUCCGCAAUGGGCGAAAGCCUGACGGAGCAACGCCGCGUGAGUGAUGAAGGUCUUCGGAUCGUAAAACUCUGUUAUUAGGGAAGAACAAAUGUGUAAGUAACUAUGCACGUCUUGACGGUACCUAAUCAGAAAGCCACGGCUAACUACGUG
rnacentral:rRNA from 1 species